AGCAAAUGCAGCAUCUGCUCGUACAUCACGAGAAAGGGCGAAAGCCUAUUUCAAGAAAUUGGAAUCGGAUGUGGAGAAAUUGAGUCAGGAGAAUGUCCAAUUGAAGGCGCGAGUCAAUGUUUUGGAGACCCCGCAGAAAAAUACGCAGUUGUUGACCAUUCCAGCUUACCAGAGCGACCCUGGCGUUAUGGAUUUGGAUAUGCCAAACAUAGGCAUCAAUCCGGCGUUGUUUGAUGACCAUCAAAUGCAGCAUCUGCUCGUACAUCACGAGAAAGGGCGAAAGCCUAUUUCAAGAAAUUGGAAUCGGAGGUGGAGAAAUUGAGUCAGGAGAAUGUCCAAUUGAAGGCGCGAGUCUAUGUUUUGGAGACCCCGCAGCAAAAUACGCAGUUGUUGACCACUCCAGCUUACCAGAGCGACCCUGGCGUUAUGGAUUUGGAUAUGCCAAACAUAGGCAUCAAUCCGGCGUUGUUUGAUGACCAUGAAACUAGCAAACGCAGCAUCUGCUCGUACAUCACGAGAAAGGGCGAAAGUCUAUUUGAAGAAACUGGAAUCGGAGGUGGAGAAAUUGAGU